rnacentral:ncRNA from 2 species
AUGUAAACUGGCGAUGGGGUCCGCCUUCAACCGCCUGAAGCAAAUGUUUUCGGGAUGAUGACUUCUACUGGGAU